AUGACACAUUUCUUUAUGGCCUGGCUUGCGGUUGCCUUCAGCACUUUUCUAGCACCAACCACGGCCUUGAAGCUCAGCCCAAAGUGUUAUGGACUUGUGCUAGAUCAUCAAAUGCUCAAGAACACAAACAUCUGCCUCUUUGUAGCAGAACACAUUAAUGAAGCUUUCCGGAACAUGGACCAGGAGAAGCAAACUGUCUGCUGCUGCUUGUAUCACUUGAUGAUACUAUACCUUGAUGCGCUCGUACAUGACAUCCCAGUAAGCAACUGCGCGAUACGAUCGAAUGCAUGGGAUAGUACUCUAAUUGCCAAGCUGAUCAAGAAGGAUACUAUCUCUCCUGAGGAGUAUAGAGGCACGGAGCAGACACCACUGUUUGGUGGAAUUUUGAAAGCUGAAGCAUUCGUGGCAUCCAAGUUACCAAUAACCUACAAUCCGCAGAAAAAGGCAAAGAUUGCGAAAGUGGUCAAUGACCUGUGCAAGGAAGAGGAGGAGGAAGAGGAGGAGGAGGAGGACAAAGAAGAAGAGGACAACGGAGAGGAGGAGGACAAGGAAGAAGAUAGUGAGCCAGAGGAGGAGGAAGAAGAAGGUGAGGCCAAAGAGGGGGACGGGAACAAAGGUGCAGUAGUUGAUGGCAGUGAGAGGGGAGAAGACAAAGGCGCAGCAGUUGAUGGCAGUGAGAGGGAAGAAGACGACGAUGAAGAAGACGAGGAUGGUUAUGGUGAUGAUAAAGGGGGAUCCAAUGGAGGCAGCGACAUUAGCGAUGAUGAUGAUGAUGACAACGCCCCUGGUUCUGGUGGUACAGGCGGCAACACAUCCAGGAGGACUAGCACUUCUGCCACCCCUGCCAGCAGCAGCAAUUCAUUGAGUAGCAAGAGCACACUACAGAUGUUGAUUGACAAAACUUUCUGGAAAGACAAGGAUUUGCCGAAGUCAAAGAAAAAUGGCGAAGCAGAGUCUCAAGGCAGCAUUGAUAUGUUCAAGCUCUGCAACUUGAAGCCAGCUUUGCCAACCACCUUUCCCGUGCCAGAUUUUAGCGACCAAGAUAUGUGUGAGAAGAUCAACUUUGCCAUUGACAAGAGCCUGUUCUUAUCAAGUGAUGCUGAAAAGAAUCAAAUUGACAUGGAGGAAGCAGGAAAGGGUCUUGUUUGGGUUCAUUCAAAGAAAAAAUACAAGGAAUAUUUGAAGCAGCUUCCAGACCUAAGCUCCAGCAAGAGCAAGGCAGCAUCCAUGGCAAACCCUCACGUGGUCCAGAAGCGUAAAGCAGUUUCAAUGAAGAAGAAUCUGCAGUUGCCUCAAACCAAGGAGAAGAUGGUGAGUGCAAAUGCUGAAGUAAAUAUGGUCAAGGAAGCUGUGCUUCAAACUGAUAUGCCAACUGUAGUCAGCAGAGAGCCAACCACCAUCACAUGA
rnacentral:rRNA from 1 species